rnacentral:rRNA from 1 species
AGGAUGAACGCUGGCGGUCUGCUUAACACAUGCAAGUCGAACGGUGAAGCCUUUCGGGGUGGAUCAGUGGCGAACGGGUGAGUAACACGUGAGUAAUCUGCCCUUGACUCUGGGAUAACUUCGGGAAACCGUGGCUAAUACCGGAUAUGACGCGUGGUCGCAUGGUCUGUGUGUGGAAAGAUUUAUUGGUCAGGGAUGAGCUCGCGGCCUAUCAGCUUGUUGGUGGGGUAAUGGCCUACCAAGGCGACGACGGGUA